rfam:Gossypium raimondii Chr05_contig_898, whole genome shotgun sequence.
AACCCAUGGUGAGGGCACCAUCUCAAUAAGUCCUUAUACCUCUCCCAUGUAUCAUAUAAUGUUUCUAAACCAAUUUGCAUGAAAGAAGAGAUAUCAUUCCUCAACUU